rnacentral:rRNA from 1 species
GAAAAGAAACUAACAAGGAUUCCCCUAGUAACUGCGAGUGAAGGGGGAUUAGCCCAGCACCGAAGCCUGCGGCCGUUUGGCUGCUAGGCAAUGUGGUGUUCAGGUUAACUCUUGGCAUUACUGCUCCAUCCUAAGUCCAGCACUGAGUAUGGCAUCUGGAGUGGCCCAUUGAGGGUGAAAGGCCCGUGGGGGUGGAGAUCAAGCAGGCCAGUCUUGCCCUGAGUUGACCUUGGAGUCGGGUUGUUUGUGAAUGCAGCCCAAAGCGGGUGGUAAACUCCAUCCAAGGCUAAAUACAAGCACGAGUCCGAUAGCGAACAAGUACCGUGAGGGAAAGUUGAAAAGUACUUUGAAGAGAGAGUAAACAGUGCGUGAAACCGCUCAGAGGUAAACAGGUGGAGUUGAACUGUAAGCUCCGGGAAUUCAGCUGGUGAGUGUGUCAUGGGCUUGGUCAUUUUCGGCCGGCCUUCAGAGUCUGCUUAGCUGCGGGUCCUUGCUUCUUCGGGAGUAGGGAUGUGUGUUACGCUUACCAAGUGUUGCACGCUCUGGAGGUAGCCGGGCUGGUUCACCAGUGCACUUUCUCGGAGUGGUCACCACGACCGGCGCUGUUGCCUUGCUGCUGUGGUCGAACCGGUCAGGUUUGGUCCUUGUGGCUGAGCUUGAUCGGGAUGGCAGGUAGCUCAUGGGUUGGCUUGUCCAGUCUAUGGGUGUAAUCAGCUGGCCUCAGUAGUUAUGUGCAAUGCGUCGGAGACGGCGGCUUCAGGUAUUUGCUUAUGUGCCAUUAGCUGGUAGUAUCGGGUUUGACUGGCGUGUUUACCUGCUUCGGUGGGUCCGUCAGUGGCUCGAUGCUGCUCGGUUGGUGGUUGCGUUUGUGAUACCGUUGAUGGGCCUACAGUCUGUGGUGUAGCAGCAAACGAUCCACCUGACCCGUCUUGAAACACGGACCAAGGAGUUUAACAUGUGCGCGAGUCAUUGGGCGUUACGAAACCCAAAGGCGUAGUGAAAGUAAAGGUUCGGCUUGUCCGAGCUGAGGUGAGAUCCUGUAGCUUUUCGUGCGAGGUACCACCAAGCUUGAGAGCUAUGGGCGCAUCACCAGCCCGUCUCAUGGUGUAGUCGUGUGGCCUUGUGUUGCAUGCAUCACCGGGGCGGAGCCUGAGCGCACACGUUGAGACCCGAAAGAUGGUGAACUAUGCUU